CUCUCUGCUGCUCCUGCCGGCAGCUUGAAACUGCAAAUUUUUAGUGCUGUACAGCUGAGAGUGAGAGCUGAUUUCCUUGGCAAGCACUCUGAUCUGCACAUAGAAAAAUACAAGGAACAGUGGCAGGUUGUACAGGGAGCUAAGGUGCAAAAUGUUGAAAAGGAUAUCUGUCUUCAAAAUGAUUGGAAAGGAUUGCAUUCCCAGGUGACACCUAUAAAUCUGUGGCUACUUUUCUCUGCUAAUGGCAAAAAAAUAUCCUCCUCUGAUAUAUUCUUGUAUUGUCUAGCUGCAACAAUUUAAUCUAAUCUAGAGAGUAUAAUAAAUGAUUUUCUUAUGUU